AGGAUUUUAGUUUUAAAAAAUAAAACAUUUGAUUUGCAAUCAAAAAAUAAAAAAAAUAAUUUAUAUCUUA
rnacentral:tRNA from 1 species